UACAGAGGAGCCAAGCGUUGUCCGGAUUGACUGGGCGUAAAGCGCACGCAGGCGGAUGCGCGCGUGGGGUGUGAAAUCUGGCCGCUUAACGGCCAGGCGCCAUCCCAUACGGCGCGUCUGGAGUGAUGCAGAGGUCGAUGGAAUUGCCGGUGUAGUGGUGAAAUGCGUAGAGAUCGGCAGGAACACCCAGGGGGAAACCAGUCGACUGGGCAUCUACUGACGCUGAGGUGCGAGAGCGUGGGGAGCGAAC
rnacentral:rRNA from 1 species